GACGAACGCUGGCGGCGUGCUUAACACAUGCAAUUCGAACGGAAAGGCCCUGCUUUUGUGGGGUGCUCGAGUGGCGAACGGGUGAGUAACACGUGAGUAACCUGCCCUUGACUUUGGGAUAACUUCAGGAAACUGGGGCUAAUACCGGAUAGGAGCUCCUGCUGCAUGGUGGGGGUUGGAAAGUUUCGGCGGUUGGGGAUGGACUCGCGGCUUAUCAGCUUGUUGGUGGGGUAGUGGCUUACCAAGGCUUUGACGGGUAGCCGGCCUGAGAGGGUGACCGGCCACAUUGGGACUGAGAUACGGCCCAGACUCCUACGGGAGGCAGCAGUGGGGAAUAUUGCACAAUGGGCGGAAGCCUGAUGCAGCAACGCCGCGUGCGGGAUGACGGCCUUCGGGUUGUAAACCGCUUUCGCCUGUGACGAGGCGUGAGUGACGGUAAUGGGUAAAGAAGCACCGGCUAACUACGUGCCAGCAGCCGCGGUGAUACGUAGGGUGCGAGCGUUGUCCGGAUUUAUUGGGCGUAAAGGGCUCGUAGGUGGUUGAUCGCGUCGGAAGUGUAAUCUUGGGGCUUAACCCUUAGCGUGCUUUCGAUACGGGUUGACUUGAGGAAGGUAGGGGAGAAUGGAAUUCCUGGUGGAGCGGUGGAAUGCGCAGAUAUCAGGAGGAACACCAGUGGCGAAGGCGGUUCUCUGGGCCUUUCCUGACGCUGAGGAGCGAAAGCGUGGGGAGCGAACAGGCUUAGAUACCCUGGUAGUCCACGCUGUAAACGGUGGGUACUAGGUGUGGGGUCCAUUCCACGGGUUCCGUGCCGUAGCUAACGCUUUAAGUACCCCGCCUGGGGAGUACGGCCGCAAGGCUAAAACUCAAAGGAAUUGACGGGGCCCCGCACAAGCGGCGGAGCAUGCGGAUUAAUUCGAUGCAACGCGUAGAACCUUACCUGGGUUUGACAUGGAUCGGGAGUGCUCAGAGAUGGGUGUGCCUCUUUUGGGGUCGGUUCACAGGUGGUGCAUGCCUGUCGUCAGCUCGUGUCGUGAGAUGUUGGGUUAAGUCCCGCAACGAGCGCAACCCUUGUUCACUGUUGCCAGCACGUUAUGGUGGGGACUCAGUGGAGACCGCCGGGGUCAACUCGGAGGAAGGUGGGGAUGACGUCAAGUCCUCAUGCCCCUUAUGUCCAGGGCUUCACGCAUGCUACAAUGGCUGGUACAGAGAGUGGCGAGCCUGUGAGGGUGAGCGAAUCUCGGAAAGCCGGUCUCAGUUCGGAUUGGGGUCUGCAACUCGACCUCAUGAAGUCGGAGUCGCUAGUAAUCGCAGAUCAGCAACGCUGCGGUGAAAACGUUCCCGGGGGCU
rnacentral:rRNA from 1 species